rnacentral:rRNA from 1 species
CACGUAGGGUGCGAGCGUUGUCCGGAAUUAUUGGGCGUAAAGAGCUCGUAGGCGGUGUGUCGCGUCGGCCGUGAAAUCCCGAGGCUCAACCUCGGGUCUGCAGUCGAUACGAGCAAACUAGAGUGUUGCAGGGGAGACUGGAAUUCCUGGUGUAGCGGUGAAAUGCGCAGAUAUCAGGAGGAACACCGGUGGCGAAGGCGGGUCUCUGGGCAACAACUGACGCUGAGGAGCGAAAGCGUGGGGAGCGAACAGG